rnacentral:rRNA from 1 species
CCUACGGGUGGCUGCAGUGGGGAAUAUUGGACAAUGGGGGGAACCCUGAUCCAGCCAUGCCGCGUGUGUGAAGAAGGCCCUCGGGUUGUAAAGCACUUUCAGUGAGGAAGAACGCCUGGUGGUUAAUACCUAUCAGGAAAGACAUCACUCACAGAAGAAGCACCGGCUAACUCCGUGCCAGCAGCCGCGGUAAUACGGAGGGUGCGAGCGUUAAUCGGAAUUACUGGGCGUAAAGCGCGCGUAGGUGGCUUGAUAAGCCGGUUGUGAAAGCCCCGGGCUCAACCUGGGAACUGCAUCCGGAACUGGCAAGCUAGAGUGCAGGAGAGGAAGGUAGAAUUCCCGGUGUAGCGGUGAAAUGCGUAGAGAUCGGGAGGAAUACCAGUGGCGAAGGCGGCCUUCUGGACUGACACUGACACUGAGGUGCGAAAGCGUGGGUAGCAAACAGGAUUAGAUACCCCUGUAGUC